GUCUGUGGCCAUACCACCCUGAACAUGCCUGAUCUCAUCUGAUCUCAUAAACUAAGCAGGAUUGGGCCUUGUUAGUACUAGCCAGGCACAGUGGCUCACGCC
rnacentral:rRNA from 1 species